UACAGGGGGGGCAAGCGUUGUUCGGAAUUACUGGGCGUAAAGGGGUUGUAGGCGGCCAACUAAGUCCGACGUGAAAUCCCAAGGCUUAACCUUGGAACUGCGUCGGAUACUGGAUGGCUUGAAUUCGGGAGAGGGAUGCAGAAUUCCAGGUGUAGCGGUGAAAUGCGCAGAUAUCGGGAGGAACACCUAUGGCGAAGGCAGCUCGCUGGGACGUUACUGACGCUGAGACGCGAAAGCGUGGGGAGCAAACAGG
rnacentral:rRNA from 1 species